AAAAAUAAUUCACUAAGAGAAAAGAUUACACGGUGAUUACCGACUCCACGGACUCAACCUCUCUUAACCUCCUAUGAAUCUCGCGCAAUCCUCCGGGUUGUCCACACCCUCACGUUCGAAUCCACGAACGCCUCCACUUCGAAUCCAUGAAGCUUCAAUCACGCUGAAUCCACGACGCCACUCGAAACACGAGCCCACGAUCCGAAUCCACGAACCGCCUUCGUCCACGCCGAAUCCACGACGCUAUUCAUGAAGAACAUCAU
rnacentral:lncRNA from 1 species